rnacentral:lncRNA from 1 species
UUUCAAUUUAAGAUUUUCAGAAUGGAACAGUUCCAAGCCGUGGCCAUGGAAAUAGGUGGCUGGGAAUGAGUGGAGGUCAAGGUCAUUAUUGUUGAAGAGGUCAGGGAACUGUGAGACUAAGUUAUUGCUUAGGCUAGUUAUCUGCUUGGAUAUGGAUGUCAGUCAAGAUGAUGACAGCAUUUGGCAUACAGAGGAAAACUGUGAGCUUAGUGACCAGCAGUCAGCUGGUGAUGGAGAUGAGAAGUAAAAUAAUAGUAUAGUCAAACGGCAUUAGCCUCAAGGGAACA